rnacentral:rRNA from 1 species
AUUGAACGCUGGCGGCAUGCCUUACACAUGCAAGUCGAACGGCAGCGGGCCCUUCGGGGUGCCGGCGAGUGGCGAACGGGUGAGUAAUGCAUCGGAACGUACCCGGGAGAGGGGGAUAACCGGCCGAAAGGCUGGCUAAUACCGCAUGAACUCGGAAGAGCAAAGCGGGGGACCUUCGGGCCUCGCGCUCUCGGAGCGGCCGAUGUCCGAUUAGGCUAGUUGGUGGGGUAAAGGCCCACCAAGGCGACGAUCGGUAGCGGGCAUGAGAGGACGAUCCGCCACACUGGGACUGAGACACGGCCCAGACUCCUACGGGAGGCAGCAGUGGGGAAUCUUGGACAAUGGGCGCAAGCCUGAUCCAGCAAUGCCGCGUGGGUGAAGAAGGCCUUCGGGUUGUAAAGCCCUUUCGGCGGGGAAGAAAUCGGUCAGGCGAAUAGUCUGGCCGGAUGACGGUACCCGCAGAAGAAGCACCGGCUAACUACGUG